GGACGAUAGGAGCUUGCUCCUUUGACGUUAGCGGCGGACGGGUGAGUAACACGUGGGUAACCUACCUAUAAGACUGGAAUAACUCCGGGAAACCGGGGCUAAUGCCGGAUAACAUUUAGAACCGCAUGGUUCUAAAGUGAAAGAUGGUUUUGCUAUCACUUAUAGAUGGACCCGCGCCGUAUUAGCUAGUUGGUAAGGUAACGGCUUACCAAGGCAACGAUACGUAGCCGACCUGAGAGGGUGAUCGGCCACACUGGAACUGAGACACGGUCCAGACUCCUACGGGAGGCAGCAGUAGGGAAUCUUCCGCAAUGGGCGAAAGCCUGACGGAGCAACGCCGCGUGAGUGAUGAAGGUCUUCGGAUCGUAAAACUCUGUUAUUAGGGAAGAACAAAUGUGUAAGUAACUAUGCACGUCUUGACGGUACCUAAUCAGAAAGCCACGGCUAACUACGUGCCAGCAGCCGCGGUAAUACGUAGGUGGCAAGCGUUAUCCGGAAUUAUUGGGCGUAAAGCGCGCGUAGGCGGUUUCUUAAGUCUGAUGUGAAAGCCCACGGCUCAACCGUGGAGGGUCCAUUGGAAACUGGGNAAACUUGAGUGCAGAAGAGGAAAGUGGAAUUCCUGUGUACCGGUGAAAUGCGCAGAGAUAUGGAGGAACCCCAGUGGCGAAGGCGACUUUCUGGUCUGUAACUGACGCUGAUGUGCGAAAGCCUGGGGAUCCAACAGGAUUUAGAUACCCUGGUAGUCCCCGCCGUAAACGAUGANUGCUAAGNGCUAGGGGGNUUCC
rnacentral:rRNA from 1 species